GUUAACUGAGCAAGAUUAUACAUGCGCACAUGCAUAUGUUUUGCGUAAUUGUGACUAUUUUCGACCGUUUGAAAGUAUGUUGGACGCGCAAAUUCGGGAUGAAUAUCCAGAACUCUCUGAUGAUGAGGUCACCUCUAAAAGAGACGAAGAUUUUCAUUUAUGGAUUCGCCAAUACGUGGAAGCAACGAGAAGUCAUCAAAAUUUUCCUCCAUGGGUUCAUGAACUAGUGGAAGGUCCUGAAAACAAAGUCAAGUCAUGGCCCAUGUAUUUUACUAGAGGAUAUAUGUUUCACACGCGGAAUCAUGGGCGCACAAGAAAGACAAUGAAUUAUGGGGUAUGUGUUCGAGGACAAAAUUAUUCUGAAGCAUCUCACGAAGAAGAUUUUUAUGGGACCGUGGAAAAGAUAAUCGAGCUCGAGUAUCCAGGACUGGUUAACUUAAAGAUCACACUUUUCUACUGUCAAUGGUUUGACCCAAA